rnacentral:rRNA from 1 species
CUUUACAGCCAUACCACCCUGAACAUGCCCAAUCUCAUCUGAUCUUGCAAGCUAAGCAGGGUUGGGCCCGUUUAGUCCUUGGAUAGA